UGGAGGAAAGCAGGGGAUCGUAAGACCUUGCGCUUUUGGAGUGGCCGAUGCCUGAUUAGCUAGUUGGUGGGGUAAGAGCCUACCAAGGCGACGAUCAGUAGUUGGUCUGAGAGGACGACCAGCCACACUGGGACUGAGACACGGCCCAGACUCCUACGGGAGGCAGCAGUGGGGAAUUUUGGACAAUGGGCGGAAGCCUGAUCCAGCAAUGCCGCGUGAGUGAAGAAGGCCUUCGGGUUGUAAAGCUCUUUCAGUCGAGAAGAAAAGGUUGCGACUAAUAAUCGCAACUUAUGACGGUAUCGACAGAAGAAGCACCGGCUAACUACGUGCCAGCAGCCGCGGUAAUACGUAGGGUGCAAGCGUUAAUCGGAAUUACUGGGCGUAAAGGGUGCGCAGGCGGCUCUGUAAGUCAGAUGUGA
rnacentral:rRNA from 1 species